GUGGAGUUACAAGUUAAUCUUCUCGUUCAACAAAUGUUCAAUAAUGAAUGUAUUAAUAUUCAGCUGACUACGAACCCUUUAUUGCUUUUAAUUCAAGAUCAUUUACUUACUAAACAACCCAUGAGUUGCAUCGCCCUGUCCAUAUAGGCUAGUGCAUUAGUUGCUUUUACCCCAGAAUUCCCGCCACAUAUUUAUAAACAUGAAGCCGAUUAUCACUUGCAUAAAGGAUUUUGAUCUGGACUACCCAGGUGAACAUGAUCAUCAACUAAUCUUUAAUCUAACCUUGAACUGAUGAUUGAUAAAUAAUCAUUCAAGUUGGGAAGGAUGACGUAAUAUCAUGCUCUGCUGACAUGACACAAGAGACUCAUUUGGAACAGCUGAUAGUCACCUCAGAAGAUGGAGAGGCAAUUUGGUAUUUUUCAAAAUACCUUCUCCAUGAUCCAUAAUACAUAAAAAAACACACAUACGCCUGGACAGUGUAUACAACUCUAGAGGGCUUUUAAUUUGAAAACAGGGCUUUUAAUUUGAAAUACAUAUUAGAACUGGAGAAAUACCAGAAGAGACUGUGGCUUUGUCUCUUCCCUCUUCUGCUCCGCAAAACCGAGAGACCGGCGGAACAAGUCCAUUAAGCGAGUUCAUCUCCAACGAAGGUUUUACCGCGUUAAAGACACUUUAGAAAGAAAGAAUGGCGCUACAAAGAAUUCUGAUGGAGAAGAAAGGGACGCUGCUCUCUCGGCUCCAACCUCUACACAUUGGUGUGGUCUGCAUUAAAGACCAGCCAAGGGUUGUCUCAUGGAAUUUCACCGACAGCGGUGAGGCCAAACCAUCAGUAACAAAAGAAAAUAGGAUGGUUGUAAUUAGUGAUGGAUGUUCUGUAGCUAAACUCCUGCUUUUUGAGGAGUACUCAGCUAAGGUAACUCUUGGUCAGGGGUAUGUGAUGAGACAUUACACCCUUAGAGGACAGUCCCCACCUUACCAGAUCAGUGUUUCCAGGGACACACAGUUUUUCAGUUCGACACCAGUGCUGGUGUCACAGAAGCUGCAGAUGGAGGCGCAGAGGCUCCUCAAUCCCGUCUCCAAGAUGAGUCCCUUGAAAGGCAUCAAGAAGACGCAGGGAUUGGUGACGGUGGAGGGGGAGGUGGUGAAGAUCUCCGCCAUCAAACGGAUGCAGGUGAAGAACAAUGUGGUGCCCCUGAGGAUGCUGAAUUUACAGGAAGACAGCACACAGGUUGCAGUAAACCUGUGGAGGGAGGCAGCUGUGUUGCCACUCCAGAAGGGAGCCCAAAUAAAGCUUACACAUUUGAGAUCAGUCACAUCAAAAUAUGGACACCACCUGCAGUCCACAACCUUUACAGCAUUUGAGGACGUCCCAGUCAAAACUUGCAUUCUGGGUGUGAUGGGAGUGCUGGAGUGCGAUGACAAGCCGGGAAUGUUGCAGCUUCUGGUGCAGGAGAAUGAUACUGUGUUUGAAACUGAGCUGGCUGUUUGGCACCCAAUAGGGAAGAAAUUGUGCAGAGUGCCAUUCAAAGUCAAAGUUCAAACCGUUGGAAAAAAGAUAAUUAGUGUUGAGGCCGUUGAGGAAGAGGAGGAAGAGGAGGAAGAGGAGGAAAAGGAAGAGGUGUACUGUACUUAAGCGAAAAUUUGAGGUACUUUGAGUAUUUUAUGCAGCUUAAUACAUUUGGGGAAAUAUCGUUCAACAAUGUGACAACUUUAGUUACUCUAGCUACUUUUAGUGAUUUUGGAUUUUUCCUUUAUUUUAUGGGUUCAGAAAAUGUUCCUGUACUUCUUAAGCUAAAUGAGCUAUUUAAAAAAAAUUUUCUGGAGAACACACAGCCACAAAGCUGAAUACACGGCUGUUUUUCUAAGAUCAUGAAAAGUUGACUUUUUAGAGACAGAGACACUAACAACAUAUGAUGAGCUUAUAGAAUAUGAUCACCGUAGAUUACACUAAUCAGUAGCCUAUAGUUAGAAUUAGCUCAACCUUCCAGCAGUAAAAUGCAAUAUAAACAUUAAGCAGUAAUAUUAAUCCAAAAACAUCAUAACUAAGAUUUGCAGAAUGAGUACUUUUUUUAUAUUUUAAGUAUAUUUAGCUAAUUAUACUUUUUACAGUUUUUAAUGCUAAUAAGACUUUUACUUGUAGUGGAGUAUUUUCAUAGUGUGGUGUCAGUACUUACAGUCUCUAUAACUAAGAGUAGGCUACUAUAAUACUAGCUAUAUAUCUAUACUAUAAUACUAUAUAUCUAUAGUAUCCGAUUACUUCUUUCACCACUGAUGGUGUGUAAGAAUAGCCCCAAAAAUUAUUUUGUUUUGUCAAAUGUACAAAAUGUUAUAUUCUGCAUAGUUUUUGAGUGGAAUUUACUUUCUUACAAAAUUAUUUGUCUUAUUAAUUUGGUAAUAUUUGUUCUUUCAUUUAUUAAAUUUACUUUUAAAAAGGAAAAUAAUAAUGAAAAAGAGAAAAGACAUAAAAUAGUGCAGAAAUGAAUAUACAGGAAUAAAAUAUAAUAUAGACUGUGGCAAGACAUUUACAUAGGUGAAAAAAGCCUAAUGUGGGCAUUUUUUUGUAAUUCAGACGUCUGGAAUAUAUUGUGAUAUGGCGCCAACACACUAAAUCCACAUUAAAUGAAAAGAUAAAACACAGCUAUCACACUGACACAGAAAUGGUGCAUAUCAUUACUCUUAGUGCCAAGUUGCCUUAGACAAAUCAGCAUUUCCUAAUGUGUGACAACCUUUAAUUCACGUAUACGUAAGCCUGCCUCUCUGUCUUAUUUCUCUCCUUUCCCUUUCUGAUCUGAAAUACAUUUAACUGUAAUUAAUAAUAUGCUGCAUAAAAUGAAGUGGAUUUUAUUACAUUUCUAUGAAUAAUUAAAUAUCUGUGUUUUUUUUUAAUUCAUUGCUAUCUUCUUGACUCAGACAUUCCUCAAUAACAUUAAGCUUGACUUCAACCACCGAGCGCCAACUGAGGGUAGAUCUUCCCCUAAAUCUCUGAAGGCUAUCCGACACACUGGCAGCUAACUGAGUGUACCAUAACAGGCAUGUAAUAAAAAAAACCCUGUGCUGAGAGUCUCUACUGAGUUUUUGUGUCAUUGUCCAUUGUCGGGAGUUUGAC
rnacentral:lncRNA from 15 species